CUUUGUGUUCAUGUGUAUUCAAUGUUUAGCUGCCACUUAUAGGUGAGAACAUAUAGUAUUUGGUUUUCUCUUUCUGUUUAGCUCAUUUAGGAUAGCGGCCUCCAGCUCUAUCCACGUUCUGACAAAGAAAACCGUGUUGGGAGUUUGAUUAGACGGCUGAGAAAGACAGCAAAUCUACAGGGUUUGUCAAAGAUAAGAUCGUUGUCAUGGCAUGACAAGGAUGACCUUUCCAGCCUGCAAUACCUGCUUGACCACUAAGACCAAACAGCUCAAAUUAAAGCUUUCCCUGGCCAUGGUGACUGAGUCAAGGACAGACUCAUAAUCUAAGGCAAAGCAAUAAGUCAUCAGGAGACUCAAUACCUGCGUGUCUCUCAACCAUUGGAAAAAGUGAAUAUUCUUUGUAUCUGGAUGUGAAUAUAUACAACCCCAGGAGCUGCUAGAAUCCAUCUUGAGUUUG
rnacentral:lncRNA from 1 species